rnacentral:rRNA from 1 species
ACGGAGGGUGCAAGCGUUAAUCGGAAUUACUGGGCGUAAAGCGCGCGUAGGCGGCUAUUUAAGUCGGAUGUGAAAUCCCCGGGCUCAACCUGGGAAUGGCAUUCGAUACUGAGUGGCUUGAGUAUGGGAGAGGACAGUGGAAUUCCAGGUGUAGCGGUGAAAUGCGUAGAGAUCUGGAGGAACAUCAGUGGCGAAGGCGACUGUCUGGCCCAAUACUGACGCUGAGGUGCGAAAGCGUGGGGAGCAAACAGG